rnacentral:rRNA from 1 species
CCUACGGGAGGCUGCAGUGGGGAAUAUUGCACAAUGGGCGAAAGCCUGAUGCAGCAACGCCGCGUGAAGGAAGAAGGGUUUCGGUUUGUAAACUCCUAUCAACAGGGACGAAAGAAAUGACGGUAUCUGUAUAAGAAGCCGCGGCUAAACACGGGCCAGCAGCCGCGGUAACACGUGGGGCGCAAGCGUUAUCCGGAAUUACUGGGUGUAAAGGGUGGAUAGGCGGCAUGGUAAGCCAGGUGUGAAAGCCGUGGGCUUAACCAGAGGAUUGCAUUUGGAACUAUCGAGCUAGAGUACAGGAGAGGAAAGCGGAAUUCCUAGUGUAGCGGUGAAAUGCGUAGAUAUUAGGAAGAACACCAGUGGCGAAGGCGGCUUACUGGACUGAAACUGACGCUGAGGCACGAAAGCGUGGGGAGCGAACAGGAUUAGAUACCCGAGUAGUC